UCACUUGUUGUUUGAGAUUUAAAGUAUUCUCAGACCAUCAUGCUCAUAUUGCAUGUUCGGUUGAAUGAGGUGUCCACCAUGCAACACUGAGACUAUUGUGGAGAGUUCUCCGUUUUGUGUAAAUCUUUUGACACUGAGCUUUGUACAUGUUCCGUUAUGCCGGCAUUGUUGAUCAUGAAAUUAGCUAAAUAUGCCUUGCGCUAGCAAGAAUGUGAUGGUACUAAAACCACCCCAAAUCCUUGCUGAUGUUGGCCAGUCGGAAAAUUGGUUGUCAUUCAGAUAAAACUUUGUAGUAUUUGUCAAAAAGAAAGACGAAAAGAAGAAAGUAAUAACGAUAAUGCUGCUCCUCGUUUUAAUCUCAAGUAGCCACACUCUUUCCAUCUGCAUGUAUCAAGUAUUGACCAACUUGUCCGAUGCAUUAUUUUAUAUGAAGCAUCAAAACAUUUAUUGCUAAUUGUUUCUGGGAUGUGGAUGUUUGCAGGAAAUAGAAUUCAUGUGAGUUAAUUGCUAAAUUACAUGGAUAAAAUGUUCUCAUCACUGCUUCUGAGAUCACCCGAGCACUUGGGGUGACAAUUCUAGGUCUUGGUUUUACUUGUCAAGCCGAUCAGAUACCCAGGAUCUAUUCCAACCUAUACAAAUUUGUUGGAGUGGGAGAUUUAGCUGCUCUUUGUUGUUAACAAACAGAGAUGUAGUGUUUUAUUGAGGUGGAAAGGGAACUUGAUCACCGCUGUCAUAAGAUCAUUCUGUUGUGAUCACUGCGUGCAUGAUGAUUCUCUG
rnacentral:lncRNA from 1 species